AAAUGAAUAGACGGGGGCCCGCACAAGCAGUGGAGUAUGUGGAUUAAUUCGAAGCAACGCGAAGAACCUUACCAGGUCUUGACAUCCCUCUGACCGCUCUAGAGAUAGAGCUUCUCUUCGGAGCAGAGGUGACAGGUGGUGCAUGGUUGUCGUCAGCUCGUGUCGUGAGAUGUUGGGUUAAGUCCCGCAACGAGCGCAACCCCUAUGAUUAGUUGCUACGCAAGAGCACUCUAAUUAGACUGCCGUUGACAAAACGGAGGAAGGUGGGGAUGACGUCAAAUCAUCAUGCCCCUUAUGACCUGGGCCUCACACGUACUACAAUGGUCGUUAACAACGGGAAGCAAAAUAGCGAUAUGGAGCAAAACCCCAAAAACGAUCUCAGUUCGGAUUGUAGGCUGAAACUCGCCUGCAUGAAGCUGGAAUUGCUAGUAAUCGCAGAUCAGAAUGCUGCGGUGAAUACGUUCCCGGGCCUUGUACACACCGCCCGU
rnacentral:rRNA from 1 species